rnacentral:rRNA from 1 species
UUUCUGCCACCGAAUACAUUAGCAUGGGAUAAUGGAAUAGGACCCUGUCCUCCUAUUUUCAGUUGGUUUUGGCAGCGCGAGGACUAGGGUAAUGAUUAAUAGGGAUAGUUGGGGGCAUUAAUAUUUAAUUGUCAGAGGUGAAAUUCUUGGAUUUAUGAAAGAUUAACUUCUGCGAAAGCAUCUGCCAAGGAUGUUUUCAUUAAUCAAGAACGAAAGUUAGGGGAUCGAAGACGAUCAGAUACCGUCGUAGUCUUAACCAUAAACGAUGCCGACCAGCGAUUAGGAGACGUUGAAUACAAAACACCACCAUCGGCGCGGUCGUCCUUGGCGUUCGUGUUCACGCACGGGCGCGAGGGCGGCUUAGCCCGAUGGCACCGGUGAAUGACUCCCCUAG